AAUUCUCAACCGCACCUGGUGUGGCUUGGAUUUGGGUUGUUGCAGGCCUGUGUAGUCUGCUCCCCUGAAAUUGAUUAGCAGUACCUUGGUGGAACUGUCUCUACAGGUGUGAUAAUUAUCUACAUCCUGGACAUCUGCUUAAUGCUGCUUUCUAAACCUCAUCUGUAUUGACCA
rnacentral:misc_RNA from 1 species